CACCCACCCCGGCCGCGGGGCCCGGGUCCAGCCCGCGCGCAGGCCCGCCCGGCGGGAGUCGCCCUCCGCUCGGGGAAAGCCGAGGCCCGCGGGAGGAUCCCGGGACCUGACCGAGGGGCCCUAAGCGGCGGGUUCUGGCCGAGCCCGAGGGCGGGAGGCUUCCCUGGGGGGUCGCUGGGCCGGCGGGCGAGUCCCCUUCCUGGAGGAGCCGCGGGGUCCCUGCCCUCUGUGUCGGAGCUAACGCUGUCAGUUCCUGCAAAGAUGAACGGCCCAUGCGGUCGCCUGACCCCGCGAUCUCUGCCUUGUGGAACAUGGGGUUAAGAGUUCUGCUGGCCCUACAGUCAGAAGCCUGGAUUGAAACCUGUAACAGCUUUGCAGAGAGAGCAACACACCUUGCCGGCCAGAAGCAGGGAGAAGCAGAGCAGAUCCUUCUGACCAGAGGCAUGAGGACCGGCCUGGCAAAGAAGCCCAUCUGGAAAUAGCAACCCGGCCCUGUGAAUAACGAUGGGAACAGUAAGCCACAGAGAUUGAGACUGUGCCAAAGUUAAGGCAGGGAGCAGGCAUGACUCAUUAACAGCCUGC